GAUGAACGCUGGCGGCGUGCCUAAUACAUGCAAGUCGAGCGAACAGACGAGGAGCUUGCUCCUUCGACGUUAGCGGCGGACGGGUGAGUAACACGUAGGUAACCUACCUAUAAGACUGGGAUAACUUCGGGAAACCGGAGCUAAUACCGGAUAAUAUUUCGAACCGCAUGGUUCGAUAGUGAAAGAUGGCUUUGCUAUCACUUAUAGAUGGACCUGCGCCGUAUUAGCUAGUUGGUAAGGUAACGGCUUACCAAGGCGACGAUACGUAGCCGACCUGAGAGGGUGAUCGGCCACACUGGAACUGAGACACGGUCCAGACUCCUACGGGAGGCAGCAGUAGGGAAUCGGCCGCAAUGGGCGAAAGCAUGACGGAGCAACGCCGCGUGAGUGAUGAAGGUCUUCGGAUCGUAAAACUCUGUUAUUAGGGAAGAACAAACGUGUAAGUAACUGUGCACGUCUUGACGGUACCUAAUCAGAAAGCCACGGCUAACUACGUG
rnacentral:rRNA from 1 species